AAGCAGCACAGACUGGUGUGCUCCAGGCAUCUCUGGGUGAGUAUCUCUUUGAUCGCCUCACUCCAGCAUGACUUCCAAGAGA
rnacentral:pre_miRNA from 1 species